GGCUGACACCUGUCAGAUUUAUGCUUAUUUUGCGUUUGUUUGACGCGGUGCAAGGAAACAUGCCGACGUAGGCCAGGGAUCAGCGUCUGCUUCACGCGGUGGAAAACGGACGCCGGCUGGGGUGUCGUCCUUCACUCCCAAAAAAUUCAAAAAAAUAUUGAGCACUGCUGUGCUUGCAUCGCCGCCGCCACUCCCUUGAGCGCUUCUCUCGGCGGCCACUGUACCGCCAUGCAGUCUUUGCCGGACCGGUGCGCCGACCAGCGCAUGGCCACAGCGGCUGUGAUGGCCUCCAAGGCGGCGCAUUCGUGCAACCAGUGUUGAGCCACACGGACUCCGCGCGUCCACGAGUUGUCGCCCAGCCCAGCUGCACCUCGAUCUUGCUCACCGGUGCAGCCGUGGCCCGUGGGGGAGGCCCUCCUGCCGGCGCGGCAUCGCCUACUCCGUUUUGACCCCGCCAUGCCUCGACAUGGUGAUGCUCACGACGCCAAAUGACAUCCGUGAGGUCCACCAUCAAGGUCAUGGAGGCAUCCUGCUGCUGGCAAGCAUCAGGAGAUUGCCGUUGCCCUGCUUUCUGCUCUGCGCUUGCCGCCUGUCAAUCUAGCCACGCUUGCCACUUCAAAGGUUAAUGGAGCCUACUAUGCUUUGGGAGACUGGUAAGAGGAAUGUGCUACUAUUACAAGAAGGCAAAUCUGUUCUUUCACAUGAAGGCACACCAUGUACAGAUGAGAGAUAUAGGAUCAUUUAGAAUAUGUUUCAAUGUAUCGAAAAUACAUAUCCAAGUUCGAAAUGUACUGAUGUUACCUCAUAGAUUUUUAUAUUAAUUUGGCUCAACAUCUAUGCUAGGUUCUAUGAA